CCCUUAGAUGUCCUGGGCUGCACGCGUGGUACAAUGAUACGUGCAACGAGUUAAUCCUGCUCUGAAAGGAGUGGGUAAUCUUAUGAAUGCGUAUUGUGCUUGGGAUUGACCAUUGUAAUUAUUGGUCAUGAACGAGGAAUUCCUAGUAAGCACAAGUCAUCAGCUUGUGCUGAUUACGUCCCUGCCCUUUGUACACACCGCCCGUCGCUCCUACCGAUUGAGUGUUCCGGUGAAUUAUUCGGACUGCAACAGUUAUCUGUCGCGGAAAGUCUUGUGAACCUUAACACUUAGAGGAAGGAAAAGUCGUAACA
rnacentral:rRNA from 1 species